CGUGUGGUGGCCCUCGGGGUGGGUGGCAGAUGGCUGGAGGGCUUCUCAGCGGUGGUCCCCACCUCAGCUGGGCCAGUCAUGGCAGCCUGCAGCUCAUCACUGAGCUCGCUGUCCUGGAAGGUGGUCAUUUUAGGGGACUGGCAGUUGGCCGGUGUGGGCUCAGGCGGGGGCGGAGACUCAAUGGCCAUCACCUCAAGUGACUGGGGCGCCUUCCGGCGCAGGGGGCCCCCCUCAUACUUGGCAUAUUCAGCCUUCUGCAGCUCUGCCAGCUUCCUCACAGCCAGCAUCAGCUUCUUCUGGUGUCCUGAGUGGGGCGCAGGGGGCAGGUCAGGUGGACCAGGUCCUCCCAGGUGAUGUCGGUGAUGAAAUCGAUGUUCUCGUAGCCAUUGUCCACCAACACCUUGUAGUACUGGGCCAGGCCGAUCAUGGACAGCCACACGGCCAGAGCCUUCUGGAGGCUUGGCGGGGCUGUCCCCUGCACUGGACUCGGAGACGGACUUCUGGGAAAGCACCGUUGCCAGGAGCUGCAACCCAGAAACACCAGCUUGUUGCCUGCUCCCAGCCCUGGCCAACCUAGCCCCGACCACCACCCCACCUACCUUGAUACCCUCAGAGCCUGCGUGUAGGGUGUGGCCCCCGCUGCCCCGGCUGCCAGCCACACCGCUCAUGCUGCCGCUUCGGUCCCCACCUGCCAGUGUGAGAGAGCAAGAUGAGGCCAGUGCUGGCCCCUGCCUGGUCCCACAGUGGUGCCUUGUGGAAGUCCUGCCACCUCUGCCCUUCAGGGACCCGGCUUACCUGCAAAAGGCUUCCUCAGCACCCAGAUCUCCUCUGGGGGUGCAGAAGGUCCCGAUGAGCUGCUUCCCUGGGGCAGGCUUGGCUCAGCGCCUGCUCGGGAACCUGUAGGUCGAGCACAGCCUCCUGAGACCUGGGCCAGCGAGGGCGGGUGCUGACACGGGAGGUGGGGCAGAGGCCAGGCAGCCACAGCAAGGGGGUCCUCUCUGCCUGCUGUUGUCUCCAGGGAGCUGAGAGCCCCAAGGAAGACCCCUCCCCCACCAGACGUUUAGAGCAGGAGAGGCAGAGGCAGCCAAGCCUAGGCAUCCUGCUGGUGGCCCUGGGGUCCUGCGGGCAGGGGGCCAGAGAUUGCUGGAUGGUGUGAACAUCUCUGUACUGGGGAGUGGGGGGCAGGCAAGAAGCCCCCUACAAGCUGGAGCCAAGGCUCCCACUCAGGAGCUAGAUGGCCAUGACCGGGGGUUGGCCCUGCUUGUCCACCUCCAUGUCCUCCAUCAGGAGUAAACGGGCCCCUGGUCCCUCAGAGCCGCCAUGUGGGGCUUCACAGCCUGGGUCCCUGGCCUAGUCCCUCUCCUCAGCGUCCUGUUCCUCAGAUGUGCCCAGCUCUUGCCUGCCUCAGCGCCUUUGGUUUUUCCCUUUUUUCCUCACCAAGAGCAGACACUUG